UACGUAGGGUGCGAGCGUUAAUCGGAAUUACUGGGCGUAAAGCGUGCGUAGGCGGUUCGUUAUGUCUGCUGUGAAAGCCCCGGGCUUAACCUGGGAAUGGCAGUGGAAACUGGCGGGCUUGAGUGUGGCAGAGGGGGUGGGAAUUCCGCGUGUAGCAGUGAAAUGCGUAGAGAUGCGGAGGAACACCGAUGGCGAAGGCAGCCCCUGGGCUGACACUGACGCUGAGGCACGAAAGCGUGGGGAGCAAACAGG
rnacentral:rRNA from 1 species